ACGCGAAAUCAUGUGGCAAAAGAUCCCGGUAUUACAUGUACCAAAAAAAUUCGUAUUAGUGUGACAAAAGAUUAAUCGACACCUCGAUUACCGCCAACUAUAGAGGAGUUUAUCUUUCCGCGUCUACGAUUAUUGUAUGCCACAACUUGAACAACUAACUUGCGCGAAACGUGAUUGCAGAGAGACCAAGACACCAUUCCGUGUUAUCACAUGUUCUCUUAUACAUAUCCAACCACGUCCACUGUACCGAGCAGCCAGCUGUUAUCACUCGUCCUGCUCGUUAAUCCGGUUACUGGUAACCAACGGGGUUUGUCCCGUACCUUGUCCGAUCAGACCCUAAGCUCGGUAUAAUUCUAAGGCGUGACGCCUCGGAGGAAAACGUCAAUCUCUUCAUCCGGGAUUCAACGAAUGGUUAUCAAUUCAUAUCAAUUUUCCGACGAUUCUUGGUCCGUGAAAUCUCGCGUCUGUUUAUCAUUCUACCGCAUGGAAAUCGCGACUCAACGGGACGACGUAUCCUCGAUAAACAAGUUUCCGUCACAGAUGGAUCACCCUGUACGACACGUGUGUCACACCGCGAUUCUACAAAGGGUCCUCCGUUAUCCAGCUACACGAUCGCGAGUGUCAGUCACGAUUCCCGACGAGGUUCAAUGGGAUUAAUCACCGAUGGGAGUUCCCGCGAGUCGCACAGUCGGGGACCUCGGAUUGCACAACAAACCCGAUGCGUGCACUCCCACUGGAAACACGCUUUCCUUGUGCAACACCGAGCCACAUGCAUGCAUCUCAAUUGCGAAAUGCAUCGCGUCUCGGCCGACGCGUUUAAUUCUUUGGCGAACCACGGAUUUUGACCCAUUUCGAAUAUGCGGACAACGAUCCUUACGGUGGCUACGGGAGGUCAAGAGAGGCGUCGAGCCUUGAAGCCAAUGCCUUGAGCCGCGAAUGGAAGAUUGGACUUAUCGAAGUGUGGCGGGGUGGAACGUGGUACACGCGUCUUAUCACUCUUUCAGUGAUCGUAAAAAUUGUAUAUUACAACCACUUGUACCGCACGUGUUUACAUUUCGUGGAUUCGUAAAACGCUUCGCGGUUGGUGUUGCAGACGUUCGAUACAGGUAAGUUCCUACAGUCAGGAAUGGAAUAUUGCCCAAAAACAGGACAGUACCAAUGUCUACGAAGUAAGGAUAUUUGACUAAAAUGUCUUUGGAUAUCGUUCCUUCGAUGGUACCGGUGCAAUCCCUCAAAACUACCAAAGGAUCUGGUCGACUAAAGUCAACCCGUUGUACCACCCCUGCUAGAAAUGAUGGUCAUCAAUGACUCCGAAUUGCAGAGGGAAUGCCGACAGUUGGCUCAGCAGAAAGUCGUAUUCGAUGCUGCAGAAUAUCAGCGGAAUGCUCGACGUGAUAACCGGUUGAAUUCGCAGGAGAUAAGUUUGCACGAAACGGUUGAAUUCCACGCGAACUACAAGAUAUGUCGAACGGUGUUUGGUAACUGGACUGAGGGUUAAACCCUCCAAAGAUCAUCCGACUGCAGAGACGAAGAAGUCGCUUCGGAAAUAUCUGCUUUUCUUUUGUAGGUAAAAUAAAGCAAAGGAAUUUUGGCAGUUAUCGAAUUUCGUGCGGGUCGUAGGUACAUGCAGACAAACAACGCCACUUGGUUGAUGGUAAGGCAGAUGUCACGCGUCGAAGGUAGAAGAUAUCGGCGUUGCCGGAACAACAAUCUCGAGACUUACAACGACGAUGGGAAAUCUUUGUCAUUUAUAAAUUUUACAGCGAUAUUUCUUUUCUGCACCGUCUACUGUCAUAUUUCAGUCCAAAAAUUUGAUCUUGUCGUAGCGAUAACAGCACGAUAAUUCUGGUAUUUCGCAGAGAUCCGUGUGAAAUAUACGCUUGGUUCGAUUGCUUGCGUGGCGCUGUAAGGUAAUUAUUUACUCAACCUCUCUCUGGAGUAAUGGAUCGGUCUAGAAGGUUCGGAAUUUUUCAUUCGUGGACGAUCCUUCAUUUCCAUGGGUCGGAAUAACAAAAUUUCAUCUCUCGUUGUUGAUAAAAAAUUAAACCCUCCGUUCACCUUUUCGGGAACAGAAUUCACCUUCAAGCAUAUGGACCUUCGACUCGGUAUCAGCUAGGCUGCGAUGAUUUAUUAUUAUAAUUGUUUGUGUCAUGACAGUGAUUGUGAUUUCGUUUCUCGUCUUUGGACAAAGACGAAAAACAAAAGUGAAUCAACGGAUUUCUCAUCCCGAUUUAAACUUUCCCUUCGAAUGCGUCGAAUGAUUAGGUAAUUGAUGUUAAUCAGUCUAGAUAAAGCGCCAGUAUAACCGCAAGCUUGUUUGCUUUCGGUACAAGUAUUUUAAAUUUGUAAUUAUACUGUCUCAGCGGCCGAUUACAAAUUAAGAUAUUAUCAAAGUUGUGGGAAACAUUCUGGCCGGAUGAUUUUGCCCAAAGAUUUAGCUAGUUUUCCAAAAGUUUUUAGUGCCCAUCACCGAGCCCGCGGACUGGUUAGAAAUCCUUAUGCUAACUAUCGGAAUACUAAUGGGUGAUUAUAAUUGUUAAUUCGUUAAAUGAUCCGCCGUAGAGUCCUUGAUAUUAUUCGUCUUCCAGCGCCGUGCUCCGUUUCCUCCGCAAAAUCGAGUAAACUCCUGCAAGACUUGAAUGAAGUAGUGCGCAAGUCUGGAUGAUAUUUCAUCCUCGCCAGAUCCUAUUUUAUUCAUUUCCAUACAUCACAAACCAUCCCCCAAAGGUUAUUGCGGAGAGAUAGACGGAUUUAACUGCGUUUCACUUCUUCACGCACGUAGGCGUAACCGGUUCUAAAGUUCAGUGUUCACCACUGCACACGAUUUACUUGUGUGCAAAGGGUGUCCCUCUUUAAAUUGGAUAGUCAAAUAUCUCCGAAACUGUGGUAUUAAGGAUGCUGAUAACUCAAAUGUCGAUACUAUUAUUUAACAAUUUCACUACGAGAUAGGUGGGAUAUUCGUUAACUACGAAGAUCUCUUGAGUAGGUAACACAAAGAUAAGAAAUACAUAAUGGUAUUAUAAAUAAGAGCUUAGAUGUACGUGAUGUUGUAAAAUUAAAUAUUUAACUACGAUACCGUGAAUAAAAAAAAAGUGUUUCAGUUGCAGAAAACUUAUAGUAAAAUCGAACGAAUCGACUAGAGUAUUAAAAAUUUUUGAAGCAAUUUUAAACGUAGAAUGGAUAUGGAAGCUUUCGUUUACGAUGCUCCUCUCAGAUUCACCCACUGAUUUAUUGAAUUAAGUAAUUAUAAGCAUAAUAUUUUUAUACAUAAAAGU